CGUUAUCAUGUUAAUUAUGUAACAUGAUGUAUUUUAUUUUGUUGAUAUAUAUAUAAAUAAAAAUAUUUAUUCAUAAUUUUAAGUAGAUAAACAUUUAUUUAACAUAUAAUAUGUAAAUUUACCACGUUAUUAUAUAUGUUAGCUUGCUAAACAAACAGUUAUAUACUUAUUUUUAAGAAUAAUUCACUGUAAUGCCCUUUUCUCAAUGCCCUUUUGCAACUCUACCCUUUUUCCCAUUUUCAUUUCUACCCUUUCUAAUACUUUUCUCUCCAAAUUACCUUUAAUGAGCUACCCACAGACCUAAUUCAUUUCUUCACUCUCUCUCUUCUUCCUCCAUCGGAAAUUGUGAAUGCCGUUGAAUCCCAUGCCGUCGGAAAUAGUGAGUUUACUCGCCGUGAAAACCCAUCUUCGCCGUCGGAAGUAGAGCUGUGUGUCGCCGUCGAAUCUCUUGCGUUUCCCCGGUUUGAUUUUAUAAUGUUAGCUUAAAUCUUCGAUUUCGAAUU
rnacentral:sRNA from 1 species